rnacentral:lncRNA from 1 species
ACCAUCUGUGGGAUUGAGGGGCCUUCCUAGCACCAGGGAUGGUUGGUGGCCACCCAGUGUGGCUGGUCCAUAGAGGUCCCUGCAGCUCCACAGCUCUGCAAGCGAAGCAUCACUCGGCAGAGGAGAGCCCUGCCGGCUGUGGAGAGACAUGUGACACUCAGAGCUCCAUGGUGAGUGAGUCAG